CCGGAGAAUGUUAUCACGGGAGACACACGGCGGGUGCUAACGUCCGUCGUGAAGAGGGAAACAACCCAGACCGCCAGCUAAGGUCCCAAAGUCAUGGUUAAGUGGGAAACGAUGUGGGAAGGCCCAGACAGCCAGGAUGUUGGCUUAGAAGCAGCCAUCAUUUAAAGAAAGCGUAAUAGCUCACUGGUCGAGUCGGCCUGCGCGGAAGAUGUAACGGGGCUAAACCAUGCACCGAAGCUGCGGCAGCGACGCUGAUGCGUUGUUGGGUAGGGGAGCGUUCUGUAAGCCUGCGAAGGUGACCUGUGAGGGUUGCUGGAGGUAUCAGAAGUGCGAAUGCUGACAUAAGUAACGAUAAAGCGGGUGAAAAGCCCGCUCGCCGGAAGACCAAGGGUUCCUGUCCAACGUUAAUCGGGGCAGGGUGAGUCGACCCCUAAGGCGAGGCCGAAAGGCGUAGUCGAUGGGAAACGGGUUAAUAUUCCCGUACUUGGUGUUACUGCGAAGGGGGGACGGAGAAGGCUAUGUUGGCCGGGCGACGGUUGUCCCGGUUUAAGCGUGUAGG
rnacentral:rRNA from 1 species